rnacentral:rRNA from 1 species
AGAUUGAACGCUGGCGGCAUGCCUUACACAUGCAAGUCGAGCGGCAGCGCGGGGGCAACCCUGGCGGCGAGCGGCGGACGGGUGAGUAAUGCAUCGGAACGUGUCCUCUUGUGGGGGAUAACCAGUCGAAAGACUGGCUAAUACCGCAUGAGAUCGCAAGAUGAAAGCAGGGGACCCGCAAGGGCCUUGCGCGAGAGGAGCGGCCGAUGCCUGAUUAGCUAGUUGGUGGGUAAAAGCCUACCAAGGCGACGAUCAGUAGCUGGUCUGAGAGGACGACCAGCCACACUGGGACUGAGACACGGCCCAGACUCCGUACGGGAGCAGCAGGUGGGUAAUUUGGACAAGUACGGGGAAACCCUGACUCCGAGCCAUCGCCGCGUGUGACGAAGAGGCCGUUGGUA